GACAUAAUUCAUUGAUAGCCACCUGCACUGCCGCAAAUGGGGUACAAGCUUUAAAAAUGGGGAUCCUGACAAGCCCGGUGCUUGCCUGUUGAGAUAGCCACAAAGGCACAUCCUCUUGUCAGUCUGGCAAGCGACGCUGCUCCACGCUCCUCUUCCUGCCGAGAAUGGCCAGUACCUCCAGAUUGAGACGUGACUGGUGACUGAGCUCUCGGGUGAGGAAUGCCAGCCCCCUGCAUGCAGACCGGACCAGCCCAGCUGCUAGACCCCAGAGGACAGCACCACUGGGAUCCCCAAUAAACCUGUACCAGCAGCACCAGGAAUUGUGAACUUGUCAAGAUUCUAAAAGCAAAGAAAGCUGCUCAAGAGAAAGUACUGAAUGCAAGUGGAGCCAA